rnacentral:rRNA from 1 species
GACGAACGCUGGCGGCGUGCUUAACACAUGCAAGUCGAACGGUGAAGCGCUUUCCUUUUUGGUUGGUGUGGAUGAGUGGCGAACGGGUGAGUAACACGUGAGUAACCUGCCCCCUUCUUCUGGAUAACCGCAUGAAAGUGUGGCUAAUACGGGAUAUUCUGCGCCUGCUGCAUGGUGGGUGUGGGAAAGAUUGUGCCUUUGGGUGUUUUCGGUGGGGGAUGGGCUCGCGGCCUAUCAGCUUGUUGGUGGGGUGAUGGCCUACCAAGGCGGUGACGGGUAGCCGGCCUGAGAGGGUGGACGGUCACACUGGGACUGAGACACGGCCCAGACGCCUACGGGAGGCAGCAGUGGGGAAUAGUGCACAAUGGGCGCAAGCCUGAUGCAGCGACGCCGCGUGAGGGAUGGAGGCCUUCGGGGUGUGAACCUCUUUCGCCAGUGAAGCAGGCCUGCUCCUUGUGGGUGGGUUGACGGUAGCUGGAUAAGAAGCGCCGGCUAACUACGUG